AUUGAACGCUGGCGGCAUGCCUAAUACAUGCAAGUCGAACGGGUGGCGGACGGGUGAGUAAUUUCUUGGAAACUGCCUGAUGGACGGGGAUGACUACUGUAAACCUUAGCUAAUACUGCAUACCAUCCGUUCUGCUCUGAGGGGAUGAGCUAGUAGGGGGGGUAACGGCUCAUCUAGGCGACGCUCCCUAGCUGGUCUGAGAUGAUGACCAGCCACACUGGAACUGAGACACGGCCCAGACUCCUACGGGAGGCAGCAGUGGGGAAUAUUGCACAAUGGGCGAAAGCCUGAGCCAGCCACGCCGCGUGUAUGAAGAAGGCGUUCGGGUUGUAAAGCACUGUUGGCGAGGAAGCGUUACUCGAAGAAAAAGCAACGGCUAACUCCGUGCCAGCAGCCGCGGUAAUAC
rnacentral:rRNA from 1 species